UAGGGAAUAUUGCGCAAUGGGCGAAAGCCUGACGCAGCCAUGCCGCGUGUGUGAAGAAGGCCCUAGGGUUGUAAAGCACUUUCAAUUGUGAGGAAAGGUUGACGGUUAAUACCCGUCAGCUGUGACGUUAACUUUAGAAGAAGCACCGGCUAACUCCGUG
rnacentral:rRNA from 1 species